AUACGUAGGGAGCAAGCGUUAUCCGGAUUUAUUGGGUGUAAAGGGUGCGUAGACGGGAAGUUAAGUUAGUUGUGAAAGCCCUCGGCUUAACCGAGGAAUAGCAUCGGAAACUGUCUUUCUUGAGUGCAGAAGAGGAGAGUGGAACUCCAUGUGUAGCGGUGGAAUGCGUAGAUAUAUGGAAGAACACCAGUGGCGAAGGCGGCUCUCGGGUCUGUAACUGACGCUGAGGCUCGAAAGCAUGGGUAGCGAACAGGAUUAGAUUCCCUGGUAGUCCAUGCUGUAAACGAUGAGUGCUAAGUGUUGGGAGGUUUCCGCCUCUCAGUGCUGCAGCUAACGCAUUAAGCACUCCGCCUGGGGAGUACGACCGCAAGGUCAAAACUCAAAUGAAUUGACGGGG
rnacentral:rRNA from 1 species